rnacentral:rRNA from 1 species
UUCCAGACUCCUACGGGAGGCAGCAGUGGGGAAUAUUGGGCAAUGGGCGAAAGCCUGACCCAGCGACGCCGCGUGAGGGAAGAAGGUCUUCGGAUUGUAAACCUCUUUCAGCAGGGAAGAAGAAAGUGACGGUACCUGCAGAAGAAGUCACGGCUAACUACGUGCCAGCAGCCGCGGUAAUACGGAGGAUGCGAGCGUUAUCCGGAUUUAUUGGGUUUAAAGGGUGCGUAGGCGGAAUGCCAAGUCAGCGGUAAAAUCGCGGGGCUCAACCUCGCUCCGCCGUUGAAACUGGCGUUCUUGAGUGGGCGAGAAGUAUGCGGAAUGCGUGGUGUAGCGGUGAAAUGCAUAGAUAUCACGCAGAACCCCGAUUGCGAAGGCAGCCUUCCGGCGCCCUACUGACGCUGAGGCACGAAAGUGCGGGGAUCGAACAGGAUUAGAUACCCUUGUA